AGAAAAGUAAACUAAUAUUAAGUUAGUAGGUUCAUACCCUAAAUAUAGAAGUCAAUUCUCUUUUCUA
rnacentral:tRNA from 1 species